UACGGAGGGUGCGAGCGUUGUCCGGAUUUAUUGGGUUUAAAGGGUGCGUAGGCGGCCUGUUAAGUCCGGGGUGAAAGCCCGCUGCUCAACAGCGGAACUGCCCUGGAUACUGCCAGGCUUGAGUACAGACGAGGUUAGCGGAAUGGACUGAGUAGCGGUGAAAUGCAUAGAUACAGUCCAGAACCCCGAUUGCGAAGGCAGCUGACUAGGCUGUUACUGACGCUGAGGCACGACAGCGUGGGGAGCGAACAG
rnacentral:rRNA from 1 species